AGCUCAUUUUAAGCGGAUUUUUUUUUAGCUUGAUGUCUUAAACGGAUCUCUCGUGAAGGAGUGAACAUGGCCGUUUGCAUCGAGGAAGAGCAGCGGGCAGGGAGACGCUUUUUAUGGACCAAAGAUGUAACAGGAGCUGAAACGGACAGAAGGCUCGCCGCUCAGGAUGGAGUCCGUGUUUUACGACAAAUGGAUCGAGAGGAUCAAAGAUGGCCCUGAAGCUCCUCUGCCAACGGCAGCAUUGAGCAAGUCUGUAAGAUCCUGACACCUGGCACACUUUCAGCGUAUGAAAUGGUGGAUGUUUAUUCCUAGAAAACAACAAGAGAUACGGCCUGACCACUCUCAAAUGACAGCAUUGGGUGCAGGGCAGCCGGGGGUCCCGGAGCUGAUGACAGUCCACCCCACACUGUGUCACCUCAGGUCAGCUCAGAGUGACCAGGUGAAGAACUGAAUUCAAAGUGGGACAUCGGCUAGAAAUGUACCUGGACACGUGAAGAACACGCCAACUCCACACAGACAGCGGGCAGACCGAGAAUCCCACCAGGGUUGCUAGAAAUGACAGACUGCGUUUUUAUUUGUCAUCUUGCCAAAAAGGAGAAACCUGUGCUAAAGGAGACCCCAGUUCAUCAAAGACCAACCACACUCCAUUUAGAAAAGCCAAAGAAGCCAAGAUGCAAUGUGAAGAAAGCCAUGUGGACACCCUGAGAGGCCAUCAGACUGGCAUUGAUUUGACCCUGGACCCCACCUGGAGGCGUG